UACGUUGGUGGCUAGCGUUGUCCGGAUUUACUGGGCGUAAAGAGCGCGCAGGCGGUCGUUCAAGUCGAGUGUGAAAGCCCCCGGCUCAACUGGGGAGGGUCACUCGAUACUGAUCGACUCGAAGGCAGGAGAGGGUAGUGGAAUUCCCGGUGUAGUGGUGAAAUGCGUAGAUAUCGGGAGGAACACCAGUGGCGAAGGCGACUACCUGGCCUGUUCUUGACGCUGAGGCGCGAAAGCUAGGGGAGCAAACGGG
rnacentral:rRNA from 1 species